rnacentral:rRNA from 1 species
UACGUAGGCAGCGAGCGUUGUUCGGAGUUACUGGGCGUAAAGCGUGCGUAGGCGGCGGCCCCAAGUCUGGUGUGAAAUCUCCCCGGCUUAACCGGGAGGGUGCGCUAGAAACUGGGUUGCUGGAGUACCGGAGAGGCAGGGCGGAAUUCCUGGUGUAGCGGUGGAAAUGCGUAGAUAUCAGGAGGAACACCCGUGGUGUAGACGGCCUGCUGGACGGUCACUGACGCUGAGGCACGAAAGCGUGGGGAGCAAACAGG